rnacentral:rRNA from 1 species
GACGAACCGUGCGAACGUUGUUCGGAAUCAUUGGGCUUAAAGGGCGCGUAGGCGGGCUAGCAAGUCAGGGGUGAAAGCCCACGGCUCAACCGUGGAAGUGCCUUUGAUACUGCCAGUCUGGAGGGAGGUAGGGGCGUGCGGAACUUCCGGUGGAGCGGUGAAAUGCGUAGAUAUCGGAAGGAACACCGGUGGCGAAAGCGGCGCGCUGGACCUCUUCUGACGCUGAGGCGCGAAAGCCAGGGGAGCGAACGGGG